AUUGAACGCUGGCGGCAGGCCUAACACAUGCAAGUCGAGCGGUAACACAGAGGAGCUUGCUCCUUGGGUGACGAGCGGCGGACGGGUGAGUAAUGCCUGGGGAUCUGCCCGAUAGAGGGGGAUAACUACGGGAAACUGUAGCUAAUACCGCAUAAUGUCUACGGACCAAAGUGGGGGCUCUUCGGACCUCAUGCUAUCGGAUGAACCCAGGUGGGAUUAGCUAGUUGGUGAGGUAAUGGCUCACCAAGGCGACGAUCUCUAACUGGUUUGCGGGAAUGACGAGUCACACGGGAACUGAGACACGGUCCAGACCCCUACGGGGGGCAGCAGUGGGGAAUAUUGCACAAUGGGCGCAAGCCUGAUGCAGCCAUGCCGCGUGUGUGAAGAAGGCUUUCGGGUUGUAAAGCACUUUCAGCGGGGAGGAAGGGUCACUAGUUAAUACCUAGUGGCAUUGACGUUACUCGCAGAAGGAGCACCGGCUAACUCCGUGCCAGCCGCCGCCGUAAAAC
rnacentral:rRNA from 1 species